ACCACACCUCCCUCCCUCCCCUCUCACUCUCUCUCUCCCUGCUCUCUCUCCGUCUGUUUGCCUCUGCCGCUGAAUGAAAAUACGCACAGAUGCGUAAAGGGGCGGUCAAACUCCACAUAUCCACCGGUGGCAGCGGCAGCAUCACUGACCCUAUCUCUUUGAGGACGAGAGGACGGGAGCAGGGAACAACUAUUCUUUUGGACAAUUCUUCAGGCCCUCGAAGAGAAGCCCAAGCGCGACCCCGGAGCCCACCUGUUUGAAGCCGGACACUGUUUGCUCGAAUCACAGCUCAGAAGACGCCACAGCAGCAGCAGCAGCCCGAGAGGACACAGGGAACGCGGGUACUGAGUCAGAAGAAGAACCUGCAGGGUCCCGGCUCGGAUGCACGGAUGCUCGCUUCUUCAUCUUCUUCUACCCCCCCACCUUCCCCUUUCUCCUCCUCCUCCUCCUCCCUCAAGCUGCUGUUGCUCGUCUGUGGCGAUCCAGAAAUAGCAGCAGCUUGUCUGGAGGUUGUAUGAGAAAGCGUCUGAGAUGUGGGGUUUAUUUGCGGUAGUUAUGUUUUCAGCUAAGAAUUGCUUGUUUUGUGAAUUUGUGUUUGUGUGUGUGUCUCUCCCUCUUGUCGCCUCUAUUUUGAGUUUCCAGCUUUGAUACCACUUAGUGUGCUGGAGUCGUACUAAUUAGCGGCCUGAUUGACAGCUCGGUAAUUGGAUUUAUUUCAUAUCCGCUCCUUGAAGUUGCGAAGCCUCUUAAGGCACGAGAGGAAUGGUUUCUGGGGCUUUAUUUCUUUAGAAAUCAAUAAUAACAUACCUACUCCAGACUUGUAGGGAUUUUUUUAAGAGGGAGAAGGAGGGAUUCUAAUUUUAUUACAGUUUCUUGCCAAAUUCUCAAUCCUUUUGCUAAAUCCUUCCUGGGGCUUAGGAGGAUAUAUCAGACAGCAGAUAUUUCAGCAUUAAAACACAAACUCCACUGUAAAAAUAUGUCUGUUACUGAGACAGAUCUCAGUCUUACAUGUGCUAGCAGACAUUUGUUUAUGGGGAUAAUCCAGAAAUGACCAUAUGUGGUAGAAAAAGUGGGGGAUUCAAAAACUAUCAAGUAAUACAUUGUGUUAAGUGGACUUAAAAAGUACCAAGCUGCUUCAAAACCAAAAGUGUCCAAGCGGACAACAGGUGCUCAAUGGAAGAAAAUCUGCCCCCUUUAUAACUUACUCAAAAAAAAAAUCCACAUGUAAGAAGCAGCACAGAUUAGAGCGUGUGAAGAGAGAUCAUAUGGAGAACGUAUGCUCCAAUUACAUAACACCAAACGACCAAAAUCUAUUAGCAGGUGAUGUCGAUUUUUAUGUUUUUAAACCUAUAUAAGUUAACAAGAAGGUAACUGCCUCAUUUAAUCAAAGAAAAAAUUUCAAAUGAACAUGCAUUGUAAGAAUUUUCAAACACUUUCCUGUACUUGUGUUGCAAAUUCACAUGAAUUGCCUUUGGGAAAGCUUUAAGGGGUGAAACGGAUGUCCUUGUAAUAUAUACAUAUAUAUGGAUACAUACAGGGUAAGGUAAAGCAAAGACCCCGUGUGGUUACUCAGAAUCCAAAAAGAAGGUCUUUGCUUUCGAACAUGGCGUUUACUACUACUACUACUGUUGUUAUAAAAAUCUUGUACACCAUACACCGGGACAGCUCGCUCUGAUCAUCAUCAAUACAGAUCCAGCUGCCGUGGAGACAACACCGUGGGCAUAAAAUAGCCCGUGUCCUUGCAUUGUGGAUGUCAGACCUGUUGCCACACCUCACCACCACUUGCCUUUGACGAGGCUUCAUGUACUCCCCAUCUGACUUGCAGGCUGUUUUCUGAUUAGUCUCGGUGUGAUCUUCAGCAUACCUGGAGUGCCGUGCAGAGUCAUCUCCUAUAAGCUCGUUUUUCUCUCUUGGUUUCUGUGUCCUUCACCUGCUCUUAUCCUUUUUCGAGUUUUUCUCGCUCAAGGGGGUUUCAAUUGAA
ensembl:lncRNA